GUGCCAGCCGCCGCGGUAAUACGAGGGGGGCAAAUGUUGUUCGGAAUCACUGGGCGUAAAGGGAGCGUAGGCGGGCUUCUAAGUUAGGUGUUUAAUCCCAGGGCCCAACCCUGGUCGUGCACUUAAAACUGGGAGUCUUGAAUAGUGGAGAGGUCAGUGGAAUUGGGGGUGUAGCGGUGGAAUGCGUAGAGAUCCCCAAGAACACCAGUUGCGAAGGCGGCUGACUGGACACAUAUUGACGCUGAGGCUCGAAAGCAUGGGGAGCAAACAGGAUUAGAAACCCUCGUAGUCC
rnacentral:rRNA from 1 species